AGUGAACCCGGUGAACUGAAACAUCUAAGUAGCCGGAGGAAGAGAAAACAAAAGUGAUUCCGGGAGUAGUGGCGAGCGAAACCGGAUUAGCCCAAACCAGUGUUGUUUCGGCAAUACUGGGGUUGUAGGACCACGACAUUGAUUGCGUAAUGAAUUAGAACACUUUGGAAAGAGUGACCGAAGAGGGUGAUAGUCCCGUACAAGUAAAGAGCGUUAAUUAUAGUGGUAUCCUGAGUAGUGCGGGGCACGUGAAACCCUGUAUGAAUCAAGCGGGACCAUCCGUUAAGGCUAAAUACUCCUGAGAGACCGAUAGUGAACCAGUACCGUGAGGGAAAGGUGAAAAGAACCCUGAAUAAGGGAGUGAAAAAGAUCCUGAAACCAUACGCUUACAAGCGGUCGGAGCCCGUAAGGGGUGACGGCGUGCCUUUUGCAUAAUGAGCCUACGAGUUACUUUUACUAGCAAGGUUAAGCACUUCAGGUGCGGAUCCGUAGCGAAAGCGAGUCUGAAUAGGGCGACCAUAGUUAGUAGUAGUAGACGCGAAACCGUGUGAUCUACCCAUGGGCAGGUUGAAGCUUUGUUAACCCAAAGUGGAGGACCGAACCCGUUGACGUUGAAAAGUCUUGGGAUGACCUGUGGGUAGGGGUGAAAGGCCAAUCAAACUCGGAAAUAGCUCGUACUCCCCGAAAUGCAUUUAGGUGCAGCGUUUAACUAGUUUUAUAGAGGUAGAGCUACUGAUUGGAUGCGGGGGCUUCACCGCCUACCAAUUCCUGACAAACUCCGAAUGCUAUAAAAUGUUGUUGAGCAGUGAGGGCAUGGGUGCUAAGGUCCAUGUCCGAGAGGGAAAGAACC
rnacentral:rRNA from 1 species